AACAUGUUCUAAAAAUCUAGGUCUUUAUGUACCUUUCUGGUGUGGUUUUUGUUUUCACGUAAGGUAACUAGUUCAGGUAUGCACAAAGUAUCUUCCAGCUAGUUAAAUAAAAAUCCAAUAAAUUGUAAACAGCUGGGGUAAUUAGUUUUGCCUUGGUGGACAGUUGUUUAACAAGGUGUACUUCCGUGUAACCAACCAUUUACCUUGGUUUUUAGGGUGGUUUCGUAAUGCUGUUCAUCUUUAGUAAUGUCGUAAGGCCAGUUUUCCAUCAUAGAAGUCGGAAAAGCGGUUCGACACGGCCGAAUCAUUUCCCGCUGAUCCUCAAACCGCGCCGUCGCCGGGUCCGGACCCUAAUAAUGGUAACCUAGAGGACGCACCGCAGGGUCAUGGGAGGGUCACUGCCAGCCUUGACAACAGUGAAAUUCAGCAUUUGAAAUCGUAGUCACAGAGGAAGACCGGCAAGUAUACGUUACAGGCAGGAAGAGUGCCCCUACAUCAGGAGAAUCUGAACAACACCCAGUGACACAGAGGACGACAGAGAAAGACCCACCUGUGCCCAGAAUGUGGAAAACACUGCCAAGCAUUAUCAGCACUUCAAAUACACAUAAGAACCCACACAGGAGGCCUCACUACUGCUCCACGUGUGGCAUGAUUUUCAUCCAGAAAGGACAUUUAAAAACGCAUCAGAAAGGAGAUUAUCCUGGUUCUUGGUCCAUUGGUGAGCACGGUCCCUCAGCGUCAGGAGAUCCUGAACACCACCGGGAGAAAGACACAUCCGU